GGUGGGGUGGCCGAGCGGUCUAAGGCGAAGGUUUGCUAAACCUUUGAGGGGUAAAAUCUCUCGCGCAGGUUCGAAUCCUGUCCCCACCG
rnacentral:tRNA from 1 species